rnacentral:rRNA from 1 species
UACGGAGGGGGCUAGCGUUGUUCGGAAUUACUGGGCGUAAAGCGCACGUAGGCGGCUUUGCAAGUUAGAGGUGAAAGCCCGGGGCUCAACUCCGGAAUUGCCUUUAAAACUGCAUCGCUAGAAUUGUGGAGAGGUAAGUGGAAUUCCGAGUGUAGAGGUGAAAUUCGUAGAUAUUCGGAAGAACACCAGUGGCGAAGGCGGCUCACUGGCCUGGUAUUGACGCUGAGGUGCGAAAGCGUGGGGAGCAAACAGG